rnacentral:tRNA from 1 species
ACUCUUCUAGUAUAACAAAGUACAAGUGGCUUCCAACCAUUAAGUUUUAGUUUAACCCUAAAGAAAAGUA